CUGUUCAUUUCAGUGAUAAACAGAUUAUAACUAACAACUUAAAAAAUCAGAGUUUGCCCCAUCCAAUACAUCAUGGCUGUAAAUGACUAAAAAAUUGACCCAAUUCUUCUUUCCUAGCCUCUCUUAUUAGAUGAAUGAUUCAUUGGCCAGUAAAAGGAGCCUCCCAGCUAGUCUUUGAGCAGGAUUGAAGGUUUCCUUCAAGAAAUACAAGCCAGAAAACUGCUCCAGAAGAUACAGGCCCUGGGACAGUUAGAAGACUCCAAGGCCUAGAAGGAUGCUGGCACAGGCACUGAGUUCUUGACUACCUAUGACCAAGGAAAAGGUCACCAUGGGAAAGAGU
rnacentral:lncRNA from 1 species